rnacentral:rRNA from 1 species
AACACGGAAGUUAAGCUCUUCUGCGCCGAUGGUACUGCAUGGGCAACUGUGUGGGAGAGUAGGUCGCCGCCGAAU